rnacentral:tRNA from 1 species
GGGUAUAGGUUACUGUAGGUGAUUUGAAGUCAUUUAUUUCAUAUUGAGUUAUGGUGCCUG